GUUUGCAGCUGUGGCGAGAUGUGAUUGACAGCCUAGUUAGCCAGUCCCUGUGGCUAAGAAGUCUUCUAGGCCUGCCUGAGAAGGAGACGGUUUAUUUGGAUAUUCCAGACGAAGGUCAAAAAUCCCCUCCAGUCACAGAGGUGAAGGUGACAUCCGGGAAACUUGGAAAGGAGGAUCGGAGAGGGGGUGCCCAGGAGAAGAAACAACUGAGUGCCAGAGACAAAGAGGAAAAAAAGGGUUCCAAGACACCAUCGAAAGAGGUUAUAUAGUGGUGUGGUCUGCCCCCUGGAUGGGGCUGUGGGAGGGGGUCAUGGGAAGGGGGUAGUUGUUCCAGCACAAGGCACAGCUCUCCAGGAGAGCUGCUGGGGGGGGGGGGGCGGAGCAUCGGAUCUUCCUGGGGGGGGGUCGAGGUAAUGUGUUUCCCCACUUUUCCUAGCAGGACCGCCUGAAUAGCAAAAAACAGAAGGCAAAAGAUGACAAGAAAGUGGUGAAGUCCACAAGCCGGGACAGGCUGCUCUCAGAAGAUCCUCCCGCUGACAGCUCGGCAACCUCACAGGAGCCCAUAGACCCCCUAGUCAUGGAGAAAUAUACCCAGCGGUUGUACUCUGAGGUCUAUGGGCUGCUGGACAACCUGGUGAUAGACAUGAUGGUCCUAGCAGAUGAGCUCGGCUCCGAAAAGAAUGUUGAAGAGCCUUUACGUUUUUGUACCUGAUUCUUGGGCCCAAGCUUCCUCCUGGAAAGGUGGUUUGAAAAAAAGUCAAUAAAGAAUCUUUAGGUUU
rnacentral:lncRNA from 1 species